rnacentral:rRNA from 1 species
UACGAAGGGGGCGAGCGUUGUUCGGAUUUACUGGGCGUAAAGGGCGCGCAGGCGGCUUAUUUUGUCAGGCGUGAAAGCCCCGGGCUUAACCUGGGAACUGCGUUUGAUACGGAUGGGCUAGAGUUCGGGAGAGGAGCGUGGAAUUCCCAGUGUAGAGGUGAAAUUCGUAGAUAUUGGGAAGAACACCGGUGGCGAAGGCGGCGCUCUGGACCGAGACUGACGCUGAGGCGCGAAAGCGUGGGGAGCAAACAGG